CUUUGUUCCACUUAAUUUGUGAUCACUAACUGUACAACUGCGCAAAAUCUAUCAAAUUGACCUUCUCCAGAGUAACUGUGUGCAUUACAGUGCUUGUUUUGUAGAGCGGAAGAAAAAAGGAACAAGUGGUUUUGUCUGUAAUCUGUCUGCGAGGCGUAUGUUAAAUGGUGAGCAGGAGGGGGCAGAGUACUGAGCUUUGUGGUUUUCCUCGGUUGACUGUAGCAAUGGAAGGGAGUUGUUUGGUGGUAGGUCUGAUUGUAGUGAGGGCAGGGACGGAAAGUGUUGAUAGAGCUGGUUGUUGGACAUGUAGGGUUGGUUCAGUGGUCUUUGUGAAGGAAAGUUAGGGAUGGGCUGCUGGUUGUUUGGCUUGUCUGGGUUGGGAGCAGCGCUGUUUUGAGUUGACGUGGUGAAGCAAAUGGGAGACCACAAGAUGAACAGCUUCUUCUCCCUUGAGGUGAGUGUACAAUUAUUGCACAUUAACAUCAUGACAUGUUCAGGUGUCUUUUUCUCCUUUCUACAGCAAUCCAGAAAAAGUAGAAAUGCUGCCCCGCUUCAAGAGCUAAGCACCGAUACAGGGAGAGGUGAAGACCAGCAAAUGGGAGACCACAAGAUGAACAGCUCUUCUCCCUUGAGCAAUCCAGAACAAAGGUAGCCCUACUUCAAGAGCCAAGCAGCGAUGAUCUAGAGAGGAGAUGUGCAUUGAUUCAAGGCAACAAUGCUGAAACUUGUUGAUCAGUAAAAUAUACUCUGAAAUGUGCUUUCAAUGUUUGUAUUUUUGGGAGGGAAGGGUCAAAGUUGAGUGUCUUGACAAUGUGCUUUUACUACUCGAAUUCAAAUUGUAACAAUGUAAGUGGGAUGUUAUCCACAUACACACUGUUGUGCUCUUUUUCAAAACAAUGUAUUCCCCCCAUGUAAGUUUGAUGUUUUUUUUAAGUGAUUGUAUUUCAGACAAGCAGGCUAGUGUUUCAGUGUAAUUUAAUUUGUGUUGACAAAAUAAAAAAAUUUGUGGGGUGUU